rnacentral:rRNA from 1 species
GACGAACGCUGGCGGCGUGCCUAAUACAUGCAAGUAGAACGCUGAAGGAGGAGCUUGCUCUUCUGGAUGAGUUGCGAACGGAUGAGUAACGCGUAGGUAACCUGCCUGGUAGCGGGGGAUAACUAUUGGAAACGAUAGCUAAUACCGCAUAAGAGUAGAUGUUGCAUGACAUUUACUUAAAAUGUGCAAUUGCAUCACUACCAGAUGGACCUGCGUUGUAUUAGCUAGUUGGUGGGGUAACGGCUUACCAAGGCGACGAUACAGGGCCGACCGGAGAGGGUGAUCGGCCACACUGGGACUGAGACACGGCCCAGACGCCUACGGGAGGCAGCAGUAGGGAAUCUUCGGCAAGAGACGGAAGUCUGACCGAGAAACGCCGCGGGAGUGAAGAAGGUUUUCGGAUCGUAAAGCUCUGUUGUAAGAGAAGAACGAGUGUGAGAGUGGAAAGUUCACACUGUGACGGUAUCUUACCAGAAAGGGACGGCUAACUACGUG